rfam:Yarrowia lipolytica complete mitochondrial genome, strain W29
GUCCUACUAGUUUAAUGGUAAAAUGUUUGUCUUCUAAACAGUUGAUCGUGGUUCGAAUCCAUGGUGGGAUA